UUGUGGGAGCUGCCAUUACUACAGACUCUCAGAUUCUAUGGGAACCAAGCCUGGAGCCAAAAACAUUGGCCCAACAGGCUGAACUCAUUGCCCUCACUGAGACCUCAAGUUGUCAGUAUGCAUUUGUUACUGCCCAUGUUCGUGGGACCAUUUAUCAAGAAUGGUGCUUAUUGGCUUCUGGGGCCAAAAGAUUAAAAAUGUUUCCCAAAUUUUGGACUUGUUGGCUGCCAUCUGGAUGCCAGGAAGAGUGGCUAUUAUCCACUAUAGAGCCCAUUGAGCAGGAGAUGGCCUUGUUAUAUGAGGAAAUAAUUUGGCAGAUGCCACCACCCAAAAGGCAGCUGUAGAAUCAGUGGGGAUUUGAGAUAGCCCUGACAUCACUGCAUUCCCACCUACUUUGUCAGAGCCUAUUUGCACUUGAAAAGACUUGCAUUUGGGGGCUAAUAUCAAAGCUUGCCCAGUCUGUGAGUCUCAGAUGCCCUCAGUGCCAUUUGGUGAACCCAAAGCAGCCACUCACUAAGUGGGACUAUGCCUAGAGAACACUGGAAGGUAGACUUUACAGAAGUGGGGAAGCCUGGACUUCAAUGAUAUGAGUAUUCACUUAUAAUGGUUGAUACUUUCACUGGAUGGGUAAAAGCUUUUUCUACAAAAUCUGAGUCAGCUCUGAUAGUAGUCAAAAAACUCUUACAUGAGGUUGUCCCACAAUUUGGCCUCCCCUUAUCAAUGGGGCCUUACAAUGGGCCGGUUUUUAUGGCCCAGAUAACUCAAAAACUAACCAAAGUCUUGCAGAUCAAUUGGAAACUCCAUUGUGCUUACUGCCUCCAAAGUUGAAGACAAGUAGAAAAGAUAAACCAGACAUUAAAGAUGGUAAUUACUAAUGGCCUUAGAAACUGGUGAGAACUGGGGAGUCUCCUUCCUUUUUUGACCUCUUGUAUGCACAGUGUACCCUCUAUGUUACUGGUAUUUCCCCUUUUGAGGCUUUAUAUGAGAGAACUCCUCUUAUACCUAAGAUUUUUGAGGAAAAAUUAGCUGAUUUAGCUAAUCAAGAUCUUAUUAAGUCUCCCCAAACUCUUUAGCCAGUUCUGACUUCCACCCACUGGUUAUUUUGACAACAACAUCCUCCACCUGCAGCCCACUGAGAGAACAAACACCCUUCUGUAGAGCCUGAGUCACCUGUGCUCAUCAAGAGGCUUCACCGUGGAUCUCUUGAGCCAUUGAAAAGGUCCCUACAUUGUAGUCCUCAGCACUCCAACUGCUAUCAAAGUAGCCAGAAAGCCUGCCUCGAUGCAUCAUUCCCACUUCAAGCAGGUCCUGGCUUCCAAAGGCGAUCAACCUACAGAUAAGUGGACUGUCAUUCCCUCCAAGGACUCUUUAAAGCUCAAGACUGCCAAAUUAGGACUUCCGGGACAACAUGGUGGACAGAUAGCAGAUACUACGGAGGCUCUCUGAAAGGCUUGGUUCAGAAGUCAGGAAUGGUGCGGACUAAGGAGACAUAAGCCGGUAGAGAUAUGCUCUGCUGACUCAGGAACAAACUGGGCUGAGAGAAACCAACUUGGAAUGCAGUCCUGGUGCUAAAACAGGAACAGAAAAGCCUCGGUGUGGAGUCUAGACCCCGCGCCAAAGGAAGCCAUGAUUUGGGUUUCCUGGCGCACUGCGGCUGGCUGCCUCUACAUCGGCUCGGCAAGGACAGAGACACGCAGAAGCUCUGAGAACGGGAGUCUGUGAACGGAGUCGAAAACAGGAUAGCCAGGGAGGCGUACACUGACUUGUGGUGAGGUGAGUGAGAGAAACUGACACUCUACCACAGUUUGACUCCAGUGGAGGACUUUCUGGGCCCAGGCAGUCCUGCGGGAGCAGGGCGCGGUGGCGACUCCAGCCACACAUUCCCCUCUCGGACGGGAUUGGUGAAAAGUGCCUGGCCUGCGUGACGCUGCUGGUGGACUAGGUAGGCUGGCCCAACCCAGAUCCCAGAGCCUGACGGUGGCCCGGAGGGGCGACUCCCAUGUAGGCUGCCUAGUCCGUAACUCCCUGGUGCACUGCGUUGGGUGGGAACACCUAGUCAGCACAAUUCGAUCAGGCUGUGGCUGACAGGGAGGGAAGCUGGGCCUCCUGUGUAAACUUGCAUAUAUAAGGAACAGAAAAUAUGGGAAAAGGCAGCAACAAGAACGGCUCCUCGGCCCCCAAUUCUGAGAAACAGGCAAUAGCGGACACCGCACCAAUAGACAUAAAGCGCCAUAUAGAGAGCCUCAUAGACCAAUUCAGGAAUGAAGUUAUCAACGACCUGAAGCUAGAAGUAUGCAGAAUAGUUAGAGAAAUGCUAAGCACCACCCUGGAAAAAACAGAUGGUGGAAUGGAAGAACAGAAAAAGAGGGGAGAAUUGUUUGAUGGAGAAAACAGAGAAAGCAUAGAGUAUGUGAAGCAGGUUCAAAGGGACUAUCAAGAAACUAAGAAGUCUAUCCAAGACUGGCAUAACAGCUUGAAGGAAACUAAGGACAGACUAUCUGAACUGGAGGGCAUGCUUGUAAUAUGGGAGAAUGAAAUGAAAAACUUCUUAAAAAUAACAAAGAAACAAACAGCAAUAAUAGAAAGACAAGAAGAUGAUAAGAGGAUCCAUAACUUAAGGGUUAAGAACAUAAAAGAAGAAGUAGGGACACAAACAAGUGAACUACAAAAGCUACUCACAGAAAUAAUCCAGGAGAAUUUUCCUAAUUUAGCAAAAGGUAAAGAUACUCAGAUGUAUGAGGCAUACAGGACCCCAGCUACCUACAACCCAAACAGAGCAACACCCAGGCAUAUAAUAAAAAUUCCAGAAAUUCAAUAAAAGAACAGAAUAUUAAAAGCUGUCAGAGACAAGAAACAGACCACUUACAAGGGAACACCCAUCAGAAUUACAGCAGAUUUCUCUGCACAAACCAUCAAAUCAUGAAGAGCGUGGGGGGAAACAAUUCAAACUUUUAAAGAUAAUAAUCUCCAGCCAAGAUUGAGAUAUCCUGCACAACUGUCCCUGGAAAUUGAUGGAAAAACAAGGUGCUUCCAGGAUAAAGAGGAACUGGGGGAAUUUGCAACCACCAAUUCAACUCUAUAGAAAGUAUUGCAGGAUAUUCUAAAAAAAAAAAAAUACAAAGAACCCAGAAAUAGUGGUGGGGAGGCCACAACGAAUGGAGCAGAGAACAAAAUGAAGAAGACAAACUGACAGCUACUGACAGAAUAAGAGCUCAACAGAAAUGAGACAGAGAAGAUUGGAUGAUAGGAACAGCUAUUUUGGAGAAAAUGACAUCUUAAUAGGUAAUACUGAUUUAGUAUCAUCUUGUUUUAAAGUCUCAUCUAGCUUUUGUUCUUCUGUCUCCAAUGGUCUAAAUAGGUUGUAUCUUAUUGGAGUUUAUUAUGUACGAUAGUAUAAGCAAAAACCUUUUAAAGACAAGGAGAUUAUACAGAAACCAUUGUUCAUUUUCUGUUAGUCGAUUCUAAAUACUCUGUAAUGCUGUCAUUCUCUUAAAUGGUUUUACAUUGUUUUGAUAAACUUAAUGCUACCGUAUACGAAGUUGUACUCAAGGACUUCAAGGAAAGAGUCAAUAUGGUAAUUACUUUGGGUUGGAAUUAUCUGGUGGUGAAACACUAUUCUGCUUAAAUGUUUAUGUUUUGAUCUGCGCUGUUUCGCUGUUAUGCCCUUUUUUAUCCCAAUCUCCACUCCAUUAUUUACUCUUUUAUUUUUAUUCAUUUAAUUAAAGGGAAAAAUAGCAGGAUAUAUUAUAGUAACCCACUUUGACUUUCUAUUAUCUCAAUUUGAAGCCUUGUAUUACUCUCACCAUCUUGUUUUUGACUGAUGUUCCCCUAUUCUGUUUUGCUGGAUAUUAUCAGGUUCGAACGUUUAGGCAUCAGCUGUGAAGAUAAUGAGAUUCAUUAUGACGCCCAUUCUCGUUGACUUUUAUCUACUUUUGAAGACCUACAAAGUCUCCAAUGGUUUGCUUUUGUCGGUUUUGUUCUUUACUGUUUUGUUCAAUUGUAUUAUAACUAAUGAUAUAGGCAAUUCAAUUAGAGAUAGCUGGAGGCAUUAUGGUAACCACUGUUGAUCACCGUGUAUUAUGUUUUUACAUUAUCUAUUAUGUCCACCCUUUUGACUUGACCGAUUCUGUUCUGUUAUGUCACAUUUGGUUUUACUCUCUUCCAAAAAAGCAAUAAGAACCGUGGGAGCAAUGAAACCCAAAAUGUGUAAUAGUCAUUGUACAAAAGAGAGGAAAAGAAAGUGCUCUAAACUAUAUAACUGCAUGUAUAUUUAAGUGUAUAAGUUAGAAAAUGAUAUCACAGAGUUUUAAAUCAUUGAACAGAACUGUUUGCAGUAUCAUUGUUGGAAUGUCCACUCUACAAGCUUUAAUUUUGUGACUUUAACAAUUAUUUCUAAGAUGGCAAUAUGUAAUCCAUUAACUAGUGAUUUCCUACUGUUCAUUUUUUUUCUGUAAAUCUGUAUAACUUGUACCCUUUCACUGUUUUUUUCUCUUUUCUCCUUAAAUAAAAUUUAAAAAAAAAGUAACUAGGAUUUUCUGUGUGACUAGAAGACUGAUGUGCCUCUUUCUAACUUAAAAUGUGACUGCUAGAUGAUAAUUUAUAAAUUUAACCUGUGAGCUUCAAAGAUACAGAAAUUUAAAUGAAGUAUAGCCUUGUCCUGUUACUAAGAAAGGUUACCUAGAUAAUUAAGUGAGAGACAAAUGUCUGGAGACUCUUUUGCCCAGAUUAAGGAGUAAUGCUCCUCCAGUCAGUUGUUCUAUCUAUCUCUAGAGGAGAGUUACUCUAAAAAACCUGAAAAGUACUCUACCACCAACUCACCUUUUAAUGUAUGCUCCCUUAUAAUACAUGUUUACAAAGUCAUGCUUCCUUCGCUAAACAUUCUUUAUGGAAACAAAGCUCAUGAGCUAUCUGGGAAUAUAGGAUUGUGUGCCAGUUCCAGGGUAGAUAGGCUGACAGAAACUAUGGUCCAUUCUCUCCAGAAGGCAUUCACCUGCCCUGGAGCAGUUUCAACCCAAGAGACACGUGGGGAACAUCUAUCAAACAGGAAAAAAAAGGACACCUUAUUUUAACUCAUUUUAUGUAUAACUAGAUAGCUCAAUAUCACUCAUAGCUCAUCAAACGGUCCUUAGUUCAAUGCCUGGGUACAGAAAAGGUUUCAUACUUAUGCCUUGCUUUUACAUUAUAGACAUGGACAACAAAAUGUCAAAGCCCAUUCUCCUUUGGAACACAUUCUUAGGCACUAGAUGUUCGAGCCUUCCAUGUUGAAAAAGAUCCAAUUGGUAUUUCUCUGCAUGAGUGUGUGGCCUACCUACCCCCAAGAGCCUUAGUGGAAUACAGAGCAGCACUGAUUUAUUUUGUCCUGGACCAGCGACACAGUGCAGUUGGAGUUUGCAAAAGCUGUGUUCCCACUGGAUCACAAACAGUCCCUAUGCAAGACUCUUACUGGGCCCACAACCAGGUGAGUGAUUGGAUUAGAAAUCAUUUCCAGACAUGUGUUCUUGAAGGCUGAAGAAGAGUGAGAACUAAACCAUUCAAUUAUUUUAAGUUAUCAGUUAUUCAAUAAGAAAAGAAGGAACAAUUUUCUGCCUCCUUAGAUGGAUUAUGAGAGGCAUUGAUAAAGCAUACUUCUUUAGAUUCUGAUUCAAUAGAGGGACAAAUUAUCCUUAAAGAUAAGUUUAUUACACAGUCAGCCUCAGCUAUUAGAAAAAAGCUACAAAAGAUGGCUUUUCCUCCAGAUAGUCCACUUGAUACUUUAUUUAUUCAUUCAUUUUGUGUGUGUUGGAGUUUGUGGAUCAAACACAACACACAUUUGACAGGCAAGUGAUUUUGCUACUGAGCUAAACCCCCAGCUCACUUGAUACUUUAGUAAAAGUUGCCUCCUCAGUAUUUUAUAACUGUGAUGAGAGGAAGGUCAAAGAGAGAAAACAAAGAGACUGAGAAAAAGCAGCUGCUUUUGCGCAGCAUUAAGAGAAACAGACCCUAAGUCUGAUUCUCAGGUCUCCAAGAAGAGCUCAACGAUGACUUUCACCUGCCAUCACUGCCACAAGCCAGGUGACCUUAAGAGGGACUGCACUCAAAAGCCCCCUGGGCCAUGCCCUGACUGCAGACGUGACCACUGGAUGUCAGACUGCCCUCUCAGCCCAAGGCCCCACCAGGGUUCAGAUUCAUCCUACCUUUACCUCUUAUCAAAAUAACAAAUACACCUCAAAACCUAGGCCUCAGUCCGCUUGAAAUGCCUUAUGGAUGCCCUUUCCUCACUGAUGAUUUUCUCUUUGUCAGAGAAACAGAUGCCUUAUAAAAAGACAUCACCUCAUUGGCUAAAUUCCAGCAAACUCUUCAAGAGCUUACAGAAGCUCAGCCUACAGAGAAAGGAAAACCUAUCUUCCACCCUGGAGAUUUAGUACUGGUAAAAUCCCCUCCCUCAUCAGCCAUUGGGAAGGACCUUACACUGUGAUCCUGUCGACUUCUUCCAUGCUGAAGACAAGAGGCCUGGACACUCGGAUGCAUCACACCUGACACAAACCCUGGAAACUUGAGACUAUCACUGGAUGUGAACAACCACCCACAUACUCCUGUGAACGCACAGAAGACCUAAGAUUCCUCUUCAAGAAGAAAACAAAGACUUCAGACUUAGAGCUGUAUGCCUACCCAUGAUGAAAAUGCCUGGUAUCUAUUGAGGGCCUCUAGACAGGAUCUCUGCAGAAGUAUCUCUGACUGCUGGUCACCACUACAACCCUCUUCAGCCUGAAGAAGCCAGAUCAGUCAUCACCCAUGACACCCUCAUGGCAGUUCUUGUUACUUCUUCAGAGAGGGGACUGUUAUAAGCAGCUGAGUUAGUUAGAAAUACUACAGGAAGUGAGACAGGGCUAGGUCCUCAAAGGAGCCAGUGCAGAAGCUCAGAUACCUUGCAACUAAGGGGAAGACAAGCACCUGCUGCUGUGGGCCAAGCCUCAAGAUAAAAGACCAUACAAAUACAUCCAUAUCCUAAGGAGUGAAGUUCUAAAGAGUUCCCCAGCACGCUGAGGAAGUAAGGAGUGACAUUCCAAACCUUUAGGGAAGAUUCACUGCUCUCUAAGAAUUCCUGCAUUCUAAGUGAUUCCCUUCCCGUUUUGUCCCCACUUUAAUCAAUUUUACCUGAACUAUUAAUCUUAUUGGUUAGCCUUAGUUUUGUACCACCUUAUGCCCAUCUGCCUUGUGAGUACCCAGUUUCCCCAUGUUAAACCCUUUGUAUGCCAUGAUUUCCUAGAACCGUCUGGAAAAUAUAGAGUCCCUGGCAACCCGCUUUUGUCUCUCUCUCAGACAGAAGCUUGUUUUCUCUCAAUAAAUGUAUUCUACUCUUAA